rnacentral:misc_RNA from 1 species
GACUACUGGCAGGAUCAACCAGGUAGCAUUCACUCUUGUGGACCUCAACGCAUCCCAGGGACGAGCGCGGAGCGAAAGGGCUCCGCGAGCUCCGAGGAAAGCGCGAGGGUCGCCCGAGCGGAAGCAAAGCGCUUCGACACGUAGAGAUCGCACGGCCAACGAAGGACCGCUCGAUAACAACAGUUAUCACCGUACCCGUGAGCAUGCUGACGGCAUCGACGCACCGACGAGGAAGGCACCGUCCAGGAGAUGGACGGCCGACCGGUAGGAGAGCGCCGACGCCCGCACGAAGCCUCCCAACGCACAUGAUGCGGAGGAGAGGCGAGGGAAACGAGACAUGGACGACUACGAGCCCGUGUACCGCAAUCGGGUAUCAAACGCAGGAACCCACACAUCGCCCGCGACCGAAACAAGGGGCGGGCGAACAAAUGAAACGGAGAUGUCCGCAGCAGUUCGGUGCCCAAAGCACGGAGCCUGACACGGGUACAUAUCCCAAUUGCCACUCAUGCGUCGUCCCAACGCUGCCCGAAACAACGCCCGACGAUCCGACGCAGCCACCCAAAAGGGGAGGCGCCGGCCGCAAGGGACGAAGAACGAGCUAGCCUGCUAGA